rnacentral:rRNA from 1 species
GAUGAACGCUGGCGGCGUGCCUAAUACAUGCAAGUCGAGCGAAUGGAUUAAGAGCUCGCUCUUAUGAAGUUAGCGGCGGACGGGUGAGUAACACGUGGGUAACCUGCCCAUAAGACUGGGAUAACUCCGGGAAACCGGGGCUAAUACCGGAUAACAUUUUGAACCGCAUGGUUCGAAAUUGAAAGGCGGCUUCGGCUGUCACUUAUGGAUGGACCCGCGUCGCAUUAGCUAGUUGGUGAGGUAACGGCUCACCAAGGCAACGAUGCGUAGCCGACCUGAUAGGGUGAUCGGCCACACUGGGACUGAGACACGGCCCAGACUCCUACGGGAGGCAGCAGUAGGGAAUCUUCCGCAAUGGACGAAAGUCUGACGGAGCAACGCCGCGUGAGUGAUGAGGGCUUUCGGGUCGUAAAACUCUGUUGUUAGGGAAGAACAAGUGCUAGUUGAAUAAGCUGGCACCUUGACGGUACCUAACCAGAAAGCCACGGCUAACUACGUGCCAGCCGCCGCAGUAA